AAUCUCUCAAAUUGAAGCUCAAAUCAAACCCAAAUCGUCUGCAUGUUUACAAAUUCGUGAUCACCUAGUCAUGGGGAUUACAAGUUUGACGAUUAACAAGCUAGGUGAAAGCUUGGAAACGAAGCAGGUCAAACGAAGCAGGAAUGACGGAAAGGCAUAAUUUGGAAGUAAGGUAUAUUUACAGUACCGGAGGAUGAUCAAGCUCAACGAAGAACCGAACACGAUUAAGUUACAAGCUUCCGCACUAUGUAUCGUUGUUAUGUUAAAUGACGAAACUCACACAUGUUAUGUUGUAUAGUUCUAAUU